AUUGAACGCUGGCGGCAGGCCUAACCCAUGCAAGUCGAACGAGUUGCGGACGGGUGAGUACUGUCUGGGAAACUGCCUGUUGGAUGGGGAUAACUACUGGAAACGGUAGCUAAUACCGCAUACCAUCAGAUGUGCCCAGAUGGGAUUAGCUUGUUGGUGGGGUAACGGCUCACCAAGGCGACGAUCCCUAGCUGGUCUGAGAGGAUGACCAGCCACACUGGAACUGAUACACGGUCCAUACUCCUACGGGAGGCAGCAGUGGGGAAUAUUGCACAUUGGGCGAAAGCCUGAUGCAGCCCUGCCGCCUGCAUGAUGCAGGUCUUCGGGUUGUUAAGUUCUGUAUGAGGGGCAGCGUUACCCGCAGCAAAUGAACCGGCUAACACCCUGCCAGCCGCCGCGGUAAUAC
rnacentral:rRNA from 1 species